CCGUCAGCUCUAUUUGAAGCCUGUGGACUGAAAGAGAAGAGCUGGGAUUGCUAAGGGAAAACUGGCUGCUGUUGCCACUGAAAACAAUGAACGGGUGCCGGGCUGCUGGGUCAUAGAUGGCCACUAUGCAACCACCGAUUCCGAAUCUGAGCCAACCAGCAAGUAAUUUGCCCUUCUGUCCUCAGCAUCCCUAUUCUUCAAGCUGUUUUCCUGCCCUUCUCAAAAACCGACUCUCCAGCCAUUCUGGAAAGCCUGCGGGCUGGCCACCCGCAACUUCGAGCUGGAAUUCAGUAUUGGAGGGUGAACUGGAGCCAGGGCCCACCUUCUAGUGGGUCGCUUAUUGACACAUGCUGAGCAGUACCCACCCAGUGGGGAGUCUCUGCUGCACAGUGAGGCGUUCCCAUGGCAACCUCCUGGUGACACAAAGCAGCUCUUCCUCCCAGAAUGGGUAGCCUUCUUCCUCGUCUCCUGGAGAAGCCACAGCAGUGGUGCACCAGAGCUGUCAGCACCCUGGACAGAAGACUACAGUUUGGCUAGCAGCCCCCUCUCUUAACUCACCUAGUCCUCAGGCUGCCUCUGGAGGAUGCAGCUGGAGGAUUCAGACAUACAGUCAUCCCUCAAUAUCCGUGGGGAUUGGUUCAAGAACCCCAGUGGAUACCAAAAUCUGCAGAGCUCAAGUUCCUUAUAUAAAAGGGCGCUGUGUAGUCCAUCCUCUCUAUGGAUCCAACCCAUCCAUGGAUCCAACCCAUUGGAUUGGUAAUUGCUUGAAUCCAAGGAUGUGGAACCUGUGGAUACAGAGAGCCUCCAAUAUCCAGAAAUGCACCAAGUGUGGCUGGAGACACAGCAAUGGAGAAGACGGCGUCCUGCCCUCAGGGACUAGAAUUCUAGCUGUCACCUA